CCAGUCCGAAAGCCACGAUGCUCUCUCCCCACAAGGUACACCCUCGCGGUUCGUAUCUCAUUCGAGAGCGGGCUAAGGUCUGAGCUUUCCAAUCUCCCUCGAUCGGCUCUUGCCGGGUCCGGCUACAAUAUGCCAAACGACAUACCAGAAAUACAGCCAGCUCUCUCAUUGUUACCCCAAGAUCCUACAUGUAGGGGAGGGUCCUGAGGUUGCAAGGUUUCGGGAAAUGUCGUGGAGACUGGAUGAGCGACUCUGAUCUGGGCGGAUUACGCGCUGUGAACCCUCAGACGGUUGCUCAUCCUUGAGUUCACUUCGUGGCUCAUGGUCCAUCAACCAUGUAACUCGAUUCAUACUACUCUUGGACUGG
rnacentral:RNase_P_RNA from 1 species